GCAGCGCUAACAAAUGGAAUCGACCGUACACACAAACAAACGUGCAUCACACGCUCAGCUCUUACAAAUAAUUGCAUUUAUUUUAUAUUCCUUGUUUUUCUGGAGUGAACAGCGUUCAGCUGCAGCGAAAUAAUGCCCGUGCAUCGCCGCAUACAGUGCGCAAUUGUGUUUGCUCACCUCAGAUCAAGACGCGCUAGCAAUGACGGGUAUUGAAGUUUCUACAAGCGGUACAUGGUGCGAAAACUACACUGACAUGGCAAGUCGCACUAUAAAGACAUUACUGCCUUUUGUGACUACUUACAACUAUGAAAGUGGAUUUUUAGCGUUUAGAAUCAAAUGCUUGAAAGUAAAUGCAGACAUAUAACGAUGUGAAGAAACCGACUUAAGACUCCAAUACAAAGGACCUGUAAUGUGGCAGUUAACGGAUGAUUUAAUACUGACCAUAAGAGAAUCUCACACCUUGCCUGGGUGACGUUCAUCGUGCAGUAACUCGUGUGCCAUGUGAGGGCUGUUCACCAUGGAUUUACAAGAUGCUUUUCCUUCGGUGUGCGACUGGUAAAUCGCCUCACUCUAAAGAUCUUUGGUGAUCGUUCACAUCCUUCAAACCUUCAUGCUUUCAGCUACUGCCUCAGAUCUGUAACCACACCAUUGUUAGCAUUGAGAGUGCUAAAUGGAUAGAUUUCAUCAGACUGCCCUUAAGUGGCUUUGGAGAUCAUUUGUGGACUCAUUCAGAAAACCAUUUCGAUCCAUAUAACAGAUGUCAGACAAAUGGAGCUCAUAAUAUAUAUUGAACAAAGUAUAUUUAUGAAGAAUGGUUUAAUGCGUUCAUGUCCCAUUAAGAUGACCCACAGUAUUCUGCCCAGACUGUGGAAGCAUGCUAACUGUAUCGCAUACAUUGUUUUGACAAGACUAGUUUACAGUAUAUAAAAGUAUACUCUGUUGAACUGGGGUAAAAACAGCUCACAGCUGGUGCCCUCCGCGCAUUGCAAAUGCGCCUUAAACUGUUGAUUUUUAAACACCAUUGACUGAAUAUGAUUUUUUAAACCAUUACAUUUAAGGGGUUCUCCAGACCUACACUUCCAAGACUUUCACAGAAUAAGUUUGCAUGAUUUAUUAUAUAAGGCUUUUGUGUCCGUGAUCGGAUUGUGCACCUUGAAAGAUCUUUGAGCUACUCGGUGUACAAAGCUUCAUGCUCUUCUUGAAGCAAACGCGUGAUUUGACAGUAACCCGAUUGUACAGUUUCUUUGCAUUAUAGAACCCAAAGUGGAUUGCACCAGAAGAGUUCCAGUUGAGUUUUAAAUUAGGAUGCUAAGAAUUAAAAGGAAAUUUUUGAUUUAUCUUAAAGAACCAAUAUGUAAAUAAUCUCUACUGUGAUUGGCUAACCUCUUCGCUUAAAACGUAGUUCAUGUAUAAUUUACUGCAGUAUGCCAAGUAGCUUAAUACUAAUGAGGUAUUGAUAUGUAAAUGUGACUCAUAGGUUAGGAUUUUUUAAUGAAUCCUUCAUAUCGCGGAUGUCCUUCUUUUACUUCCAUAUUUUGUGAUUUUUAUUUUUUGUCAAAAAUCAUUAUUAUUGUUUAUUGUUUAUAUUGUUUAUUAGUCACCCUAUUGUUUUUCUAUGGGUUUAAAAAAAUAUUAAAAAGUACAUGACAACUUUGA